GGGGUUGUGGCUCAAUGGUAGAGCACUUGCCUCACAUGCAUGAGGCACUGGGUUCGAUCCUCAGCACCACA
rnacentral:tRNA from 1 species